UAAUAACCUCGUUAGGUGAGGCUCCUAUAUGGAGAUAUGCUGCUGCCCAGAAAUUUCGAAAGACGCCAAUGGGUCAACAGGAACCAUCGAAUUAAGGUGGUUUUUAAUGUAGCUGGAUGAACGUUAUCCUAUGCCAUAUAGUGCUAAAGCUCAACGAUUUGAGUCUUAUU
rnacentral:sRNA from 2 species